rnacentral:rRNA from 1 species
AACGAACGCUGGCGGCAUGCCUAACACAUGCAAGUCGAACGAGAUCCUUCGGGGUCUAGUGGCGCACGGGUGCGUAACGCGUGGGAAUCUGCCCUUAGGUUCGGAAUAACAGUUAGAAAUGACUGCUAAUACCGGAUGAUGACGUUAAGUCCAAAGAUUUAUCGCCUGAGGAUGAGCCCGCGUAGGAUUAGCUAGUUGGUGUGGUAAAGGCGCACCAAGGCGACGAUCCUUAGCUGGUCUGAGAGGAUGAUCAGCCACACUUGGACUGAGACACGGCCCAGACUCCUACGGGAGGCAGCAGUGGGGAAUAUUGGACAAUGGGCGCAAGCUUGAUCCAGCAAUGCCGCGUGAGUGAUGAAGGCCUUAGGGUUGUAAAGCUCUUUUACCCGAGAUGAUAAUGACAGUAUCGGGAGAAUAAGCCCCGGCUAACUCCGUG